rnacentral:rRNA from 1 species
AUUGAACGCUGGCGGCAGGCUUAACACAUGCAAGUCGAGGGGUAGAGGAAGCUUGCUUCCUUGAGACCGGCGCACGGGUGCGUAACGCGUAUGCAAUCUACCUUUUACAGAGGGAUAGCCCAGAGAAAUUUGGAUUAAUACCUCAUAGUAUAUAUCAUUCGCCUGUUUGAUAUAUUAAAGUUCCAACGGUAAAAGAUGAGCAUGCGUCCCAUUAGUUAGUUGGUAAGGUAACGGCUUACCAAGACGAUGAUGGGUAGGGGUCCUGAGAGGGAGAUCCCCCACACUGGUACUGAGACACGGACCAGACUCCUACGGGAGGCAGCAGUGAGGAAUAUUGGUCAAUGGACACAAGUCUGAACCAGCCACGCCGCGUGCAGGAAGACGGUCCUAUGGAUUGUAAACUGCUUUUGUACGGGAAGAAACACUCCUACGUGUAGGAGCCUGACGGUACCGUAAGAAUAAGGAUCGGCUAACUCCGUGCCAGCCGCCGCGGUAAAAC